rnacentral:piRNA from 1 species
UGAAACAUGAUCUAUGUGGGCUUGGAGGU